CCUACGGGAGGCAGCAGUGGGGAAUAUUGCACAAUGGGGGAAACCCUGAUGCAGCGACGCCGCGUGAGUGAAGAAGUAUUUCGGUUUGUAAAGCUCUAUCAGCAGGGAAGAAAAUGACGGUACCUGACUAAGAAGCCCCGGCUAACUACGUGCCAGCAGCCGCGGUAAUACGUAGGGGGCAAGCGUUAUCCGGAUUUACUGGGUGUAAAGGGAGCGUAGACGGCAGAGCAAGUCUGAAGUGAAAGCCCGCGGCACAACUGCGGGACUGCUUUGGAAACUGCCCGGCUAGAGUGCUGGAGAGGUAAGCGGAAUUCCUAGUGUAGCGGUGAAAUGCGUAGAUAUUAGGAGGAACACCAGUGGCGAAGGCGGCUUACUGGACAGUAACUGACGUUGAGGCUCGAAAGCGUGGGGAGCAAACAGGAUUAGAUACCCCGGUAGUC
rnacentral:rRNA from 1 species